UACAGAGGGUGCAAGCGUUAAUCGGAAUUACUGGGCGUAAAGCGUGCGUAGACGGUUACAUAAGUCGGGUGUGAAAGCCCCGGGCUCAACCUGGGAAUUGCAUUCGAGACUGCGUAGCUAGGGUGCGGAAGAGGGAAGCGGAAUUUCCGGUGUAGCGGUGAAAUGCGUAGAUAUCGGGAGGAACACCAGUGGCGAAGGCGGCGAUCUGGGCAGAUACUGACGCUGAGGUGCGAAAGCCAGGGGAGCAAACGGG
rnacentral:rRNA from 1 species